AGGGUAAUAGCUCAGUGGUAGAGCGCAUGCUUAGCAGGCAUGAGGUCCUGGGUUCAAUCCCCAGUGCCUCCA
rnacentral:tRNA from 1 species